rnacentral:rRNA from 1 species
GACGAACGCUGGCGGCGUGCGUAACACAUGCAAGUCGAACGGAAAGGCCCUGCUUGCAGGGUACUCGAGUGGCGAACGGGUGAGUAACACGUGGGUGAUCUGCCCUGCACUUCGGGAUAAGCCUGGGAAACUGGGUCUAAUACCGGAUAGGAGCCAUUUUUAGUGUGAUGGUUGGAAAGUUUUUUCGGUGUAGGAUGAGCUCGCGGCCUAUCAGCUUGUUGGUGGGGUAAUGGCCUACCAAGGCGGCGACGGGUAGCCGGCCUGAGAGGGUGGACGGCCACAUUGGGACUGAGAUACGGCCCAGACUCCUACGGGAGGCAGCAGUGGGGAAUAUUGCACAAUGGGCGAAAGCCUGAUGCAGCGACGCCGCGUGGGGGAUGACGGCCUUCGGGUUGUAAACUCCUUUCGCUAGGGACGAAGCUUUUUGUGACGGUACCUAGAUAAGAAGCACCGGCUAACUACGUG